UCCUCGGUGCUCUCAAGUAGGUAUAGGC
rnacentral:sRNA from 1 species